UACAGGGGGGGCAAGCGUUGUUCGGAAUUACUGGCGUAAAGGGUUCGUAGGUGGCCAACUAAGUCAGACGUGAAAUCCCUCAGCUUAACUGGGGAACUGCGUCUGAUACUGGAUGGCUUGAGUGUAGGAGAGGAAUGCGGAAUUCCAGGUGUAGCGGUGAAAUGCGUAGAUAUCUGGAGGAACACCGGUGGCGAAGGCGGCAUUCUGGACUACAACUGACACUGAGGAACGAAAGCCAGGGGAGCAAACGGG
rnacentral:rRNA from 1 species